GCCAUUAUCUAUAGAUUAUUUAUGAACUGCCGUUGCAGGCUGAAAAUACCUCGUCCUCUGUUAAUUAGUCACCUAUUCAGUUAGAAAAUACUGUCUAAGAUGAGGACUGAAAGCUCCACUCCAGGCUGAACAGAAAGAGAACCUCAUCCUUUCAAUUGACGUUGGUGGAAAUGGAGCUAAUUGCAUAUGUUUCGAAAUUCCAAGCUAAUUUUGCACCACGUUUUAUAAGUACAUUUUCACUUCUAAAAAGUCCUACACUGGUGUCUGCAUGGGACCUAUGCGUCUGCAGUGCACGUGUAACAGUGUGUGCAGGUGUGUACUGACUAAACACAGGCUUUUGUUUGAAACAAACAGUAGACACACACACACACACACACUCUGGCUACACCCUCACGGCGCUCCACUGUCUGGCAGUUGAUUGUGUGAAAUGUCAUUUCCAAAGUUGUCACCAGUCCUCUUGUCAGCUUCUACACUAUCGUUUCAUGGAAGGGCUUUUAAAAUGGCAACAGUUUUUGUUGUUGCUUGCAUCAACAGGCACAUAGUGUUGAAUAAUGUUGUUGACAGGACAGGUGCUAUGCAUUUCCCCCUCGAUUAGGCACAUCGUUUAGACAACAGAAUUGCCUGUUCCUGAGACCGCAUUAAAAUAGAUACCGACAUGUUUACGCGUGGGCAUUUUUGACGUAGUGUUGCAAAGCUGAAGAAAAAGGAGCAUCUCUGUCACAGAACCAUAUCUAAACCUUUCGAAAGUACCACCAAAAAGCAUCUUGACCCAACAUGUUGCAGAGCUCAGUGACUUGACAGUGAUGAUGACCGUGAUUCCAAGUGGUUGCAAUAGAAAUAGUCAACGAGUCAGUGCCAGCAAUACCUGAAAGCUGUUCUUUGCGCAUUACAUCAUUUAUUUAUCCCAUAAGUGUUGUUAUAGUCACUUCAUAUAAGGUCUGUGUUUCGUUUAGGCUCACCUUGGCUUGGUGUUUUGAUAACAGUGUAAAUCUGUCGGGACAUGAUGACUUUUGUGAACAUGUUUGUACCAAUUACGUCUGCAGUGUACAUGCUAAGUGUACAUGCUAAUUAGCAACAUCGAAGACAUCUUACAAGACUACAAUUCACUCCAACAACAUGCCAUCCAGUGACUGUUGCCACAUUCCUUCUGUUACUGUACUAACAGAAUUUUGCCUGCCAGGAACAGCCUUCAAGUUCCCCCGAAUGUGCAUUUUUCCUUCAAUGACCAACCAGUCAACAGAAUAAACCAGUAAAUCAAGUUGAUCAGCAGCAGAGAACCAGUAAGACUCCUCCUCCAACUGGACAUAGAAAUACCUCAGGUGAACUACAGGACAUUCUCUUCAUCUCUGGUGAAGGAGAACACCCAUGCCUGGGAGCUUAUUACCCAAAAAGCAACUCUGUGGAUAGGGAACACCCUUUGAAAAUCAUCUGGACAGCUCACAGAGAGACACUGAAUAUUUAAAAGAAAUUAGAGCCAUCACUUCUGGCAUAUCUCCUUGCUUGGGGUGGCUGGCAUUGAACAUCUUGGAUUGCUUUUCGUAGGAUAAGCCUGAAGAUGGCAUGAACGUUUGCCCCAUAGUAAAAUGGGUGAAAGUCAACCUGUCCUCGGAUCCCCCCAAUCAGCUGUCGUUCAACUGGAUAAUUACGCUUGGAUGACUGAGGGAUGCACCAGUGGCUGGAAAGCAAAGAGACAUUUGGUCCGUGGUGUGUUUACAUACAUACUGUAUUCACCAUCUUCAGCUGUACAAAAACGUUAUGUUUUAUCAUGACAACCACGCACAAUAUGACGACAUUGGACAACCGUGACAAGUAUCUGCUGGUACAUAGCAGUCUCUCCUGUAGAGCAUUCAACUGCGCCAGUGUUUCCUUUAGAUACGCCACUGUUUCGUUAAGAUGCACCAAAAUGACAACAUCCUGUAACUGUGUCGUCUCUCAAGUAAGAUUGCUUUCGCGAUCUUGAGUUGCUAUAUAGGCCAUUAUGUUCUGCCACUCCCUGCGGAAUAAUCACACCGGGGGAGGUAUCGGAAAUGAAACAAGUAGUGGAAAGUGAAGUCCCUCCCUUUCCGAUAGCGCUUGAAAAAACAAUUGAUUUUGCAUGAGAACCUAAAGUUGCAAUUCCGGCCUAAAGUUUCUUCCCGGGCCUACACAAGUGUGAUUACUUUUGAGACGUGUUUGUCUGAAGAGAACCCAGAACCCGGAACACGUUUUGUCUCCAUUUCGAAUGUGCAAACAGCAGUCUCUAAAAAACAAAUCUUCAUCGCCUGCCAUAGUUGAGGUGUGUGGAUUUUCAUCAACUGCUGUGGCAGUAGUGUAACAAUCUUCAUUGCCUGCCUUGGUGGAAGACAAAGCACUGUUUUUUUCCCAGCUGAAAAAUGGCCACUGCACACCAGUGUGUUGACACUGGGGUUUUGGUCAGCCUGUCAAGGGAGAGAGGUUAGAAUUUGUUUUCCUAGUACAAUGAAUGGUAACAUGUAUAUUAAAACAGAAUACCACACAUGCUUGACUGUACUGAUGGGAAACUACACUGAGCUUUUGUUUAUAUGCACGUAUGAAAAUAAAAUGGGUUGUGCUCCUAACUGUAAUAUCAAGUGGGAGUAUGUUGAAAUCAGACUUACAAAUUAUUUACAUAACGGCUAACAUUACACAUGGUGACAAGCUAACUAACAGUGGAACAUAUGUUUAGCGAACUAACAAAUCUUAACAGUUUUGUAGUCUGUGUUUGUGGACUUUACCCCAGACGCCUAACAUGGCUAAUAUUAAACCUGCCCUAGUGGUCUAACUUAUGGAAAUAGUAGAUCACACACUUAUUGUGGUCAAUAACAAAAGAUUACAACUACAGUCAUGAUACAGAUGCAUGUUAUCUUACGUAAUUGAAUGCCAUCCAUAACUUUGUUAGCAGCUAAAUGAAUAGUGUUUAACGUAACACAUCAUUCCAGAAAUGCAUUUCUCCCAUGGGCACAGGAAAAUAAUCAAAUAGUAGUAGGUAGUGGUUGGAAUUGUUUAAAAUCUGGUUCAUUUAAUUAAUGACAUAAAUUCUGAGCAACCCAGAAAUAUGAAAUAGCCUUUAAGCCCUGCUGGUAAAAACUUUGCCUUUGGUGAUGCCAUAAAAGCCUGUGUAGUCCUGUAAGAUAGGCACAUUAGCGGCUCAUAAGCAUUCCAAGAAUUUAGGCCAAACGCAGACAAAUAUAUUAUUAACAAUUCACCUUGGUCAAGAGAUAUUUACACGGCUGUCAAAACAGAGUCAGGUUAAGCCUACAUGAAACACAGACCUGGAAGAAAUGAAUGGUGUAAAAUGCAAAGAACCGCAUUCAUAUUUUGCUGCUAGGUUUUAUAGAGAAUAUAACUCCUACUAUUACAAUCAGUGGGCCUCAUCCGUCCGUCAUUGCACACAGCAUGCUGGGAAAGAGGAGGGGGAUGAUUAUCAUAAAAAAACAACGCUCCCUCAACCAUCCACUCCACCGACGCCUGUACAGUCGCCAUCACGUUUCCAUGGUUACAAAGAGCCACACUCCUUUGUUUUGCAGAUGAGUAAUUGCCCUCCAAUUAAGAAGAGGUGUGUUGGGGGAUGUUGGAGAGAAAGGGCACCUAG